UUAAGCGACUAAGCGUACACGGUGGAUGCCCUGGCAGUCCAGAGGCGAUGAAGGACGUGCUAAUCUGCGAUAAGCGCCGGUAAGGUGAUAUGAACCGUUAUAACCGGCGAUUUCCGAAUGGGGAAACCCAGUGUGACUCGUCACACUAUCAUUAACUGAAUCCAUAGGUUAAUGAGGCGAACCGGGGGAACUGAAACAUCUAAGUACCCCGAGGAAAAGAAAUCAACCGAGAUUCCCCCAGUAGCGGCGAGCGAACGGGGAGGAGCCCAGAGCCUGAAUCAGCAUGUGUGUUAGUGGAAGCGUCUGGAAAGGCGCGCGAUACAGGGUGACAGCCCCGUACACAAAAGCGCAUGUGCUGUGAGCUCGAUGAGUAGGGCGGGACACGUGGUAUCCUGUCCUGAAUAUGGGGGGACCAUCCUCCAAGGCUAAAUACUCCUGACUGACCGAUAGUGAACCAGUACCGUGAGGGAAAGGCGAAAAGAACCCCGGCGAGGGGAGUGAAAAAGAACCUGAAACCGUGUACGUACAAGCAGUGGGAGCACCUUCGGGUGUGACUGCGUACCUUUUGUAUAAUGGGUCAGCGACUUAUAUUCUGUAGCAAGGUUAACCGUAUAGGGAGCCGGAGGGAAACCGAGUCUUAACCGGGCGUUAAGUUGCAGGUAUAGACCCGAAACCCGGUGAUCUAGCCAUGGGCAGGUUGAAGGUUGGGUAACACUAACUGGAGGACCGAACCGACUAAUGUUGAAAAAUUAGCGGAUGACCUGUGGCUGGGGUGAAAGGCCAAUCAAACCGGGAGAUAGCUGGUUCUCCCCGAAAGCUAUUUAGGUAGCGCCUCGUGAAUUCAUCUCCGGGGGUAGAGCACUGUUUCGGCUAGGGGGCCAUCCCCGGCUUACCAACCCCGAUGCAAACUGCGAAUACCGGAGAAUGUUAUCACGGGAGACACACGGCGGGUGCUAACGUCCGUCGUGAAGAGGGAAACAACCCAGACCGCCAGCUAAGGUCCCAAAGUCAUGGUUAAGUGGGAAACGAUGUGGGAAGGCCCAGACAGCCAGGAUGUUGGCUUAGAAGCAGCCAUCAUUUAAAGAAAGCGUAAUAGCUCACUGGUCGAGUCGGCCUGCGCGGAAGAUGUAACGGGCUAAACCAUGCACCGAAGCUGCGGCAGCGACGCUGAUGCGUUGUUGGGUAGGGGAGCGUUCUGUAAGCCUGUGAAGGUGGCCUGUGAGGGUUGCUGGAGGUAUCAGAAGUGCGAAUGCUGACAUAAGUAACGAUAAAGCGGGUGAAAAGCCCGCUCGCCGGAAGACCAAGGGUUCCUGUCCAACGUUAAUCGGGGCAGGGUGAGUCGACCCCUAAGGCGAGGCCGAAAGGCGUAGUCGAUGGGAAACAGGUUAAUAUUCCUGUACUUGGUGUUACUGCGAAGGGGGGACGGAGAAGGCUAUGUUGGCCGGGCGACGGUUGUCCCGGUUUAAGCGUGUAGGCUGGUUUUCCAGGCAAAUCCGGAAAAUCAAGGCUGAGGCGUGACGACGAGGCACUACGGUGCUGAAGCAACAAAUGCCCUGCUUCCAGGAAAAGCCUCUAAGCAUCAGGUAACAUCAAAUCGUACCCCAAACCGACACAGGUGGUCAGGUAGAGAAUACCAAGGCGCUUGAGAGAACUCGGGUGAAGGAACUAGGCAAAAUGGUGCCGUAACUUCGGGAGAAGGCACGCUGACACGUAGGUGAAGUGAUUUACUCAUGGAGCUGAAGUCAGUCGAAGAUACCAGCUGGCUGCAACUGUUUAUUAAAAACACAGCACUGUGCAAACACGAAAGUGGACGUAUACGGUGUGACGCCUGCCCGGUGCCGGAAGGUUAAUUGAUGGGGUCAGCGCAAGCGAAGCUCCUGAUCGAAGCCCCGGUAAACGGCGGCCGUAACUAUAACGGUCCUAAGGUAGCGAAAUUCCUUGUCGGGUAAGUUCCGACCUGCACGAAUGGCGUAAUGAUGGCCAGGCUGUCUCCACCCGAGACUCAGUGAAAUUGAACUCGCUGUGAAGAUGCAGUGUACCCGCGGCAAGACGGAAAGACCCCGUGAACCUUUACUAUAGCUUGACACUGAACAUUGAGCCUUGAUGUGUAGGAUAGGUGGGAGGCUUUGAAGUGUGGACGCCAGUCUGCAUGGAGCCGACCUUGAAAUACCACCCUUUAAUGUUUGAUGUUCUAACGUGGACCCGUAAUCCGGGUUGCGGACAGUGUCUGGUGGGUAGUUUGACUGGGGCGGUCUCCUCCUAAAGAGUAACGGAGGAGCACGAAGGUUGGCUAAUCCUGGUCGGACAUCAGGAGGUUAGUGCAAUGGCAUAAGCCAGCUUGACUGCGAGCGUGACGGCGCGAGCAGGUGCGAAAGCAGGUCAUAGUGAUCCGGUGUUCUGAAUGGAAGGGCCAUCGCUCAACGGAUAAAAGGUACUCCGGGGAUAACAGGCUGAUACCGCCCAAGAGUUCAUAUCGACGGCGGUGUUUGGCACCUCCGAUGUCGGCUCAUCACAUCCUGGGGCUGAAGUAGGUCCCAAGGGUAUGGCUGUUCGCCAUUUAAAGUGGUACGCGAGCUGGGUUUAGAACGUCGUGAGACAGUUCGGUCCCUAUCUGCCGUGGGCGCUGGAGAACUGAGGGGGGCUGCUCCUAGUACGAGAGGACCGGAGUGGACGCAUCACUGGUGUUCGGGUUGUCAUGCCAAUGGCACUGCCCGGUAGCUAAAUGCGGAAGAGAUAAGUGCUGAAAGCAUCUAAGCACGAAACUUGCCCCGAGAUGAGUUCUCCCUGAGACUUAGAGUCUCCUGAAGGAACGUUGAAGACGACGACGUUGAUAGGCCGGGUGUGUAAGCGCAGCGAUGCGUUGAGCUAACCGGUACUAAUGAACCGUGAGGCUUAACCUU
rnacentral:rRNA from 1 species